rnacentral:lncRNA from 1 species
GGAAAUCAAGAAGGGGAAUCACGUGGAAGCAUUUGAACCAAAGUUUGAAGGCAUUGUCUCUUCUUCCCAAAGGUAUCCAAAGUCCAUCUCGCCUGAUUUCUCAAUGUAGGUCAUUUUUGUGGAUUCCUUUUAGAUAGAAAGCCUCUCUAGAUGUCAUAGGCCUAGGAUCUACAAUUUCAACUUGUUCCAUGACGAAUUUGUUGGGUAUGAGAAAUUAGUUUUUGGUCUGCGAAGUUCCGGAAACUCCGAAAAAUAUGUUAUGGAAAUUCCGCAACUUGUGGAAUCUCCGAACAGUUUUCCGAAAUCUCAUAACUUGGAAGUACAUAUGAACCUAGAGCUAACUCCUAGACCUUUCUUCCUAGCUUAGUUAUCUUGAGAUGAUUCUUCUGUGUGUCACACUACCCAUCCUAUCAUUAUCUUUACCCAUGUCGUGUGUAAUGUAUCUACUCAUCCUAUGAUAUACUCAUAUGCAUAGUAAACUCUUUUGACCUACCC